GGGCCCUAGGCUUGUAGAGGCUGUGCUGAGGCAUGAGUUCUUAAUACAGCUUCAUCUAGAAAGCCAUAGCAGUCCAUAGCUUUACUGUAACAAAUUUGCUGAUAUUAAGUGGAUUUGAACACACAGCGGGUGUCAUAAACUUCUCCAAUUGGGUUAUACUGAACUCAUCACUUUAAUCCAACCGCUCCUAUUACCCUUCACAGUAAACACAAUCAAGAUUUGAAUCUAAACCUCUCAUUCUCCCAUCUCUGCAUGCUAUAAAUGUUUCUGAACCGACAGGCGCUCACAUGAUUGGAUGUCAUGUGCUGUAAUGUUACCGCAGUAAACAGCACCAUCUAGGGAUCCACAUUUGGAUGAUUUGUGCUUAAAGAAUAUUUGACAUGUGGAAUUAGCUGUACGUACAGAGCAAGGUAGGUGUGUGUCGUUACUAGAGCUAUGUGUGUUUUGAGUGAUCCCAGAACUGAAGUAUUUGUUUAUUAAAUCACAUUUAAAUACCCGCUUUUCCUCCAAAGAAACUCUAAGGCAGCACACAUGGUUCCCACCUCCCAUUUUAUCCUCACAACAUCCCCAGGGGGAGGUUAGACAGAGGGGGGGCAGGCUGGGCCCAAAUACCCCAGCGAGCUUUAUAAUGGAGUUGGAAGUUGAACUUGGGUCUGCCUGGUCCUGCUGCAGCACUCUGACAACUACAUCACACUGGAUCUCACUGGAUCCCUUAACAUGUUCACAACGAAUGUGUUGUCUGCUACAGUGCAUGAAAAUCAAGACUGCCACCACUGGGUGCCCCAAGCAUGAAACCCAGUUAAGCAUAAGGACUAUAGCUCAGUGCCAUGUGGACUAAGGAGUGGUGGGAGGUACCAGCUGGGGAACCUGCCCCCAGGGAAAGAAGGCUCAGAGCUCGGGCAUGGUGGUGGCAUGACGAUGCGUGGUCAGAGAGAGAAGAGGGGGCAGACUGGGAGGAGGAGAUGGCAGAAGCUGAAGAGGCAACAGGCUUUAGUGAGCAGGAAGAGGCUGGGACAGAGAGCAGUCCAGGUUCAGAGUCAGAAGCGGAGGCUGGAGGGGAGGUGGCCAGGAAGCAGAGAUGAAACAGGCUGCUGAAGAAUCCAGGGAGUCUACCCCUCCUGCUGCGACCAGCUCCAUUCCCUGUGAUUUCCCAGAACCUGCAGAGGUAUGAAGAGGGCAGAGCAGAGACAGACAAUGCAGAGAACUCUCAGGUUGCAUGGGAAGGACCCAGGAGUGAAGGAGACUUAGGGAGUUGUGGGGAAGUGGGGACUUUCAAUCCUUGCAACUACCUCAUUGGGGCAGGAUCUUCAAGGAAGUGUUGUUAUCCUCACCAGGCCAGGCUUCCUGAGCUGCUUGUUUCUUUGAAUAAAGAGUUAGCUUCACUGACAUGGGCGGUUUUUAUUGGCGACCUACUCCUGACAUUCAGCGGCAGAGCAACAUGCUUUGAAUGGGAAAGGUCCCAUGUCCAGCCACUUGCUUCUGCAGGUAGGGCUGGGAAUGACCUCCGCCUGAGAGCUUGCAGGGCCACUUACACUUACACAAUGUAGACCACUGCUAGGAAACCUCCGACUUGCAGGCCUGAUUAGGCCCAAGACCUUCACAUUUGGCCUGUGAGGUACACACCUGUACACACCCUGCUGUCAUAUGAUGUCAGGCCCUGGACUAGCAAGCCCCAAAGGAAGAAUUGGGAACACACUAAGGGCACUCCUGCCGCUUUAAUUCAGUGCUUUUCGCAUAGCCCUGCCUACUGACCAGGAAAGACACCAAACGCACUCCUGAGUCUUCCUUUGCGGCCAUGGCUUUAAAUGUGAAUCACCUGGUGUCGUAUGAUGUCAGGGGAUUAGCAUGUGUGUGGUCCUGCCCAGUGUCAAGGGGGCCCACCCCUGGCAUUGGCAGUACUGAGCUGGCUAGACCAAAGGAGUAAUUUGGCAGAAGGAUGUGUUUCUGGAUAUUUGAACUCAAGCCUGAAUCCCAUGCCCUGUGUGCACAGUGCUUGUGGUUACAAACAGGGUAUGUAAGAAGCAACUAUGAUAUAAACACUUUGAAUAUGCUAAUUGCCACGUUGCUCUGUAGGGAUUAACCUUUUGCGCCCUGGAAUAAUAGGCGAUUCCAAUCUGUGAAGCUGAAUGCUGGCUGAGGAUUGAAUGGCCAUUCAUGUCUGCUCCGCGAUGAUACGAAAUUCAUUUCCAAAGCUUCUUGAGGAUACAAGUACUAUUCUCUGAAAUUUUCCCAGUAAAGUAAAAUCCUCCUAAAAUGAUUAGCUUUCCGAUUAAUAACCUUGUAAUCAUUUCACACGGAAAGGGAUUACAAUUGCAAGCCUCAUCCUCUACUAUAUUAUUUACCUAAAAAAAAAAAAAAAAAGCUCGGCUUUAAUUAUGCUGGAUAUUAUUGCCCCUCAUUUUCAGGGCUGUUAAAUUGUUUCAUCAAAUUAAGUCCCCAUAAUAAGUAAGGAGCAGAAAAAGUUUAUCUAUAUUGCUUGUAGUUUAUCUAUGCUGCUCACUUAAAUGCAGCAUAUGUUAAAUGUUUCAAAGCCUUGACACCUCUGCUUUAGUUUCGCUGCUCUGCUUUCCAAUCAGGUGUUGAUCAUCUACUUUUAAUACACUGGAGCACAUCUAAGCCACGGCUGGAAACUUUAAUGCUAAAUUUUAUGUAAACAACUAACCCGCAGAAGGGUUAUGUUCACCAUUUGCGGGAGAAAUACUGUGCUGGGAUAUUGAAUUUCAAAGCUAGCUGGAUUUCCAGCAGAUGUGUUUGAUGUCUGUCAAACUCUUUGCACUGCUUCAGUAGAACAGCAUUCAUUAACGUAAAUGGCAUGCAGUAAAAAGUGCUUUUCUGUGCACAUUUAAUAUGUAGCAUGUCUGGCUGCAUUUUAACAUAAGGGCAAUCUAUCCUAGUAUUCAAAGCCAUUUUAGCUGGUGAUACUGUCCAUGAUAAGACCCGCCCGCCCCCCCAAAUGGCCCUAAACAACCGCUGAGCCAGCAGUUCUCAGAAAUAUUAUUUUAAAAAAAAUGAAAAACCAAAGAUUUUUCUUUCCGUAACCUCCCUUCCUCAUAUUCUCUGAAUGCGCUUCUCUUUUUAUUUUCUGUGCCCAUCUUGCCACAUCCUGGAAUAGCAUGAGGCCAAUGUCAUGCCAAACUCUAAACUGAUGCCAGAAACUGUAUUUUAAUAUUCUGCUGGAAGCUGCCCAGAGUGGCUGGGGAAACCCAGUCAGAUGGGUGGGGUAUAAAUAAUAAUUUAUUUAUUUAUUUUAUUAUCAUUAUUAUCAUCAUCUGAAUCCUCAGGGGAUGAACCAGUCACCCCAUGAGCCAAGGACCUUGAGGAGCAGGCAGGACCUCUAUAUCCAAUACAGUCAUACCGGGUUAAAUGUGCUUCAGGUUGAGCGUUUUCAGGUUACGCUCCACAGCCACUCACGCAUGCGCAGACGCUCAAAAUUAUGUCACGCGCAUGCGCAGAAGCAGCAAAUUGCGGCCUGCGCAUGCGCAGACACUGGUUGCGUUCGCUUCAGGAUGUGAAAGGGGCUCCGGAAUGGAUCCCGUUCGCACCCAGAGGUACCACUGUACUGAGGAUCCCCUUGAGGGGACCUCUGGGUUCACACCUGAUGAAGGACCCCUGGAGCUAUCAGAGGAGGAGGUGGAGCAGCCCCCAGUCCUUGAGAGCAGCAGUGCUAAAAGCUCCCAGUACAGGCCAAAGAGUGAUGGCACAGUAUGUGUGUAUGGACCCAGAAUAGUCAGUCCACUUGUGAUUUGGGGGUCUACUUAUGAGUUAGCAAAUCCUAAUAGUCUUUCACUAACCAGCAGCUGUAGUUAGGGUGCAGUUUAGGCAGCCAGUGUAUAUAAGCCUUCCAGUUGCUGAAAACAGCACUGGUUUUUGUCUUCUCAUUCUAGCUCUGAUGGCUUGCUGAACUUCUUGUGAUAGGGACCUUGGACUGCUUCCUAACCUUCUUGGAGCUUGGAGAGCUAACUAACCCUUGAAAAUAUAGGGCUUUUGUACUAAUUUUAGCUAACACAUUCUAAUGGAGAAGGGAAGGGGGCUAUGAGAUAAGCAGUUCCUAUAAUUCCAGUAUUCCUGUUGUUUCUUCCUAGAGCAUGGGUAGGCAAACUAAGGCCUGGGGGCCGGAUCUGGCCCAAUCGCCUUCUAAAUCCGGCCCACAGAUGGUCCGGGAAUCAGCCUGUUUUUACGCAAGUAGAAUGCGUCCUUUUAUUUAAAAUGCAUCUCUGGGUUAUUUGUGGGGCAUAGGAAUUCAUUCUUCUUUUUUCCAAAAUAUAGUCCGGCCCCCCACAAGGGGGACAGUGGACCGGCCCCCUGCUGAAAAAGUUUGCUGACCCCUGUCCUAGAGCUUCUUGACUAAUUCCCAUUCUGUUUAUACUGCUUAAUUAAAAGUUGAAGGAAUAUAAUCCUAGUGAUCAAUGACUAAACUGGUUAUCUUUGUUUGCUUUGUGUCUUAAAGUUGUCUUACCAUUUUGUCUGUGCAGAAACCAUUCCUUAGCAGGAGGUGUUGAUUAGAUUUUCUGGGUAACUAGAUUACAGGGGUGGGGGCUGCUUCGUUUUCAACACCAAAGUGACCUCUCCAGGGCACUAGCCCAGGCACUGUGGAUUACUUGUGCUGAUCUUUAUACAAGGUAUUAGAAGCUCAAGACAUUUCUUCAGUGCCUUCCAGGACACGUUUAAGACAAGACUGGUACCAGAGUAAAAAAAAAAAGUUCAUAAUGGGGAUCUCAUGUCAUAUUAAGUUAUGCCAACCUUUUUAACUCAUGCCAUGAUCUAUAGUAAUAAGACACAGAAAAAGUUCAGAUUGACACACGCCUAUUCACAAUCGUACCAGAUGCACAUUUAAGGCAAGGAGCGCUUCCUCCCACUGGAAAAAGAUUGUAAAAACAAAACAAAAAAUGCAUUUAAUUGUUUCCAGAAAGUACAGCCUGAGAUAGGUUGGCAGGAAUGGUGCUCCAAUGAUGAAAAGUGCCACAUUGGUAACAGUUGGUCUGUCCAGGUGUAUUAUUUUUAGUUUCUACUGAAUUAUAUGCAUAUUUUAUUUUAUUUAUUUAUUUAGAAGAUUUUUAAACCACUUGAUCAAAGCUCUCUAAAUGGUGUGCAAAUAAAACUGUAAAUAAAGCACUGCUAAAACACACAAAGCAAUUAAAAACUAAUAUACAUAGAUGCUUCCAGCAUUUUGUUUGUGGAGCCUUUCCUAACCACCACCACCCCACAUUAUUUUAGAUUGAAUUUAUUUAAUGUUGACCUCAUUGUUCAAAUGGCAGACCACCAAACAAAAGGGAAAAGAAGGUAAUAGAGAGUGAAAUCACAGUGUGCACCAGGACUUCUCAACAGCUAGAAAUGAUCCAUUCUUUCCACUAUCCACCUUUGCGCCAACAUUCGUAAAUCAAGCAUGCUUAUUACCAAUGAGCCUUCCUACAGACGAUCUCUCUGAGUCUUCUCCCCACUGCCACCAUUUGUGACAGGUUGAAAAAUAAAACACAACAGUUUGGAGAAUAGCAAACAGCUGAAUUAUUUUCCUCCCCCCACUCCUACUCUCUUACGGACAUUACACUGAAAGCAAGGACAAUGAGAUUUAUAACCAGAAAUAAAAGAAAUUUAAGAAGCAUAAUCUAAAAUUGAUUUUAAUGCACUUCCUGAUCAGAUACCAUCAACCCUGGCUUCCAACUGAAUGGGAUAAUUUCAUUUUUUUGGACACGGAAAAUAGAUACUUGAAUACAAAUGAUGCUUAUGGAUGAGUUGUCAUCAGGCACACCUUAACUUUCAAAAAUAGAUUACUUGACUCCUUGACAAUUUAUGGUUUGGGCACUUAUUGCUAUUUCCGUCUCUAAAUAGUAGCUCUUAAAGACAAAUGUUUACAGAUUUUGCCCAAGAGAACUGAAGAGGGGGAAAUAAGCCUCUUUCAGGCAGCACAUUUACACUGAAGGAUUUCAUGACUAAAAGGGUCUAGCGUUUAGCCUCUGUAGAAGAUAACCUUUUUCUUGGGAGGAACCUGUAGAAUGGAUCUUAGAAGGCACUGUUUCAUUAAAACCUCACAUGAUUUAUGCUAAAUGCUCAGUGGUGUGGCGUUUGCUAUCUCUGAGUGCCAGAUAGAAUCAUGUGCCUAUAUUAGAGAAUUGUGUGCAGGAGGGAAAAUGACUAGCAUUGUGCUUCCCUUGCCUGCCCUUCAAACAGAGGUGUUUAAAUUGUUGCAUGGUUUUAAACAAUUAUUUUCACAGAUAUAACAGUCUCUCUAUCCUUGACCAUUUUCUAUAGCUUAGGUUGCAAUUCAGGUGCAUAUCAAAAAAUUUAUUUGCACAAUUAAAGCGGAUUUACUGUAUUUUUCGCCCUAUAGGGCGCACUGGCCCAUAGGACGCACCUAGUUUUUUGGGGGGGGGAAAUGAAUAAAAAAAAAUAUUCCCCCCCCCCCCAGCCGCGGGGCUGGGGCAGGGGAAGCCCGAGCUUCCCCAGCCCCCAGAACAGGCUGCUAUCCGCAAGGCUUGCGGACACCUGCCCGAAGCACGGGGUGCUCUCUGGAGGGAGCCCCGUGCUUCGGGCUGCAGGCUGCUGCCCGCAAGCCUUGCGAGCCCGCGGGAACUCCCGCCGGGCUUGCAAGGCUUGCGGAUAGCUUCCUGAAGCCUGGAGAGCGAGAGGGGUCGGUGCGCACCGAUGCCUCUCGCUCUCCAGGCUUCAGUGAAAGCCUGCAUUCGCCCCAUAGGACGCACACACAUUUCCCCUUCAUUUUUGGAGGGGAAAAAGUGCGUACUAUAGGGAGAAAAAUACGGUAAGUCUUCUGUUGCCAUAGAACAACAAUUCCGUUGUUGUUGUUGUUGUUGUUGUUGUUGUUGUUGUUAAAAUCAGGGCUUUUGAAUUGGGAAGUGAUGUGGAACUGUGGUGAAAAGUGUGGAAUAAAUGAAUGAUUAAUGGAAAGUUGUAUAAACACUCCACAAGCAAAUAAGGAUAAAUGCAGAAUGAAUGCUCAUUAUCAUAUAACUGCUCCAUAAACCAUUCAGAAAGAAUGCUAAAUAAAAACUGGACAUAAGCUUUGUGCAAGCAAGUCAAGAUGAACGCUCAAUUAACAGCGUCCUCUGGAGAUGCCCAUAUUUAGACAUACAAGCCCCCAAAGUUUAAGAAAUCUGAUACAUAUGGUGUUUGAUAUUUUUGUUUAUCUGUUUAAUUAUUUAUUGCAAAAUAUUUACAGGCUGCCUUUCCAAGUACAACAGUUUCACAUAGUGUUUAUUUAUGUCUAAGGAAAUUCAGCAGCUACCUUCCCAAUUGUUUUAAAGUAUUGAAAAUAUAUACAUAUAGACUUUCAUCAUAUUGAGGAAAGGAAGAAGGUUCACCAGAAUUCUCUGUCAUACUCUGGUCUAGUCUACCACUGACAAGUGGAAGAAUCCCUGAAGUAACUCUAUUGCCCAGAAAACAUGGUCCCACCACUAAGCCCUUCCUGAUCAAGGAAGUAGAAGAUUGGGUUAGUAUCUGGACUAAUUCUUGUUAAAAGGAGGAUGUUUAUCAAACAAUGUGGCAUUGAUUAAUGCUAGCUGACUGUGUAUAUUAUGUAGUGAUUUAUUAAUUUUGUUGUCGUUUAGUCAUGUCCGACUCUUCGUGACCCCAUGGACCAGAGCACGCCAGGCACUCCUGUCUUCCACUGCCUCCCACAGUUUGGUCAAACUCAUGCUGGUAGCUUCGAGAACACCGUCCAACCAUCUCGUCCUCUGUCGUCCCCUUCUCCUUGUGCCCUCCAUCUUUCCAAACAUCAGGGUCUUUUCCAGGGAGUCUUCUCUUCUCAUGAGGUGGCCAAAGUAUUGGAGCCUCAGCUUCAGGAUCUGUCCUUCCAGUGAGCACUCAGGGCUGAUUUCCUUCAGAAUGGAGAGGUUUGAUCUUCUUGCAGUCCAUAGGACUCUCAAGAGUCUCCUCCAGCAGCACUAAUGAUAUUUGAAAUGGG
rnacentral:lncRNA from 1 species